rnacentral:rRNA from 1 species
CCUACGUGAGGUAGCAGUGAGGAAUAUUGGUCAAUGGACGGAAGUCUGAACCAGCCAUGCCGCGUGCAGGAAGACGGCUCUAUGAGUUGUAAACUGCUUUUGUACAAGGGUAAACCUGAAUACGUGUAUUCAGCUGACAGUACUGUACGAAUAAGGAUAGGCUAACUCCGUGCCAGCAGCCGCGGUAAUACGGAGGAUCCAAGCGUUAGCCGGAUUUAUUGGGUUUAAAGGGUGCGUAGGCGGAUUGAUAAGUUAGAGGUGAAAUGUCAGGGCUUAACUCGGAAACUGCAUCUAAUACUGUAGAUCUAGAGAGUAGAUGCGGUAGGCGGAAUGUAUGGUGUAGCGGUGAAAUGCUUAGAGAUCAUACAGAACACCGAUUGCGAAGGCAGCUUACCAAUCUAUAUCUGACGUUGAGGCACGAAAGCGUGGGGAGCAAACAGGAUUAGAUACCCUAGUAGUC